ensembl:lncRNA
GACCCAGCCAGACCCAGUCCCUCUCUCUGAGCCAGACCCAGUCCCUCUCUCUGAGCCAGACCCAGUCCCUCUCUCUGAGCCAGACCCAGUCCCUCUCUAUGAGCCAGACCCAGUCCCUGUCUCUGAGCCAGACCCAGUAUUUCUCUCUGAGCCAGAUCCAGUCCCUCUCUCUGAGCCACAUCCAGUCCCUCUCUCUGAGCCACAUCCAGUCCCUCUCUCUGAGCCACAUCCAGUCCCUCUCUCUGAGCCAGACCCAGUCCCUCUCUCUGAGCCAGUCCCUCUCUCUGAGCCAGACCCAGUCCCUCUCUCUGAGCCAGACCCAGUCCCUCUCUCUGAGCCAGACCCAGUCCCAGUCCCCUCUCUGAGCCAGACCCAGUCCCUCUCUCUGAGCCAGACCCAGACCCAUUCCCUCUCUCUGAGCCAGACCCAUUCCCUCUCUCUGAGCCAGACCCAUUCCCUUUCUCUGAGCCAGACCCAGUCCCUCUCUGAGCCAGAUCCAGUCCCUCUCUGAUCCAGACACAGUCCCUUUCUCUGAGCCAGACCCAGUAUCUCUCUCUGAUCCAGCAGAGACCAGCAAGCCCCAGCAGAAGGCAGGAAUCUUCAACCCACCUGCCACAAAGUGACUGAAGAGGACCAGAAAGUUGGAGCCAGCCUCAGGCCUUCUCUCUGAGUCACCAGAAAGCAUGAAGUCAAAGGAAAUGGAGAUCCCAGGUCCACCUGCCCAAAGAGACUUAAGAGGACCAGACACCAGGAAGUCAAAGAAGAAGAAAAUAAUCCUUGGCCCACCUGCCAGUCAGCAAGUGAAGAGAUCCAGAUUUCCUCCCAGCCCCUGGACCACUAACCCAGUGAAGACUAGACGUAGGCCACCUUCAGCCACACCCCCUACCUGUGAGAUAGGUGUAACUACAUUUACCUUGAGAUCGAAGGUAGCGACAAGCCCUACCUUGAAGUCAGGUGUAGUCACAUCCCCAUCUAGCGGUGAAGCCUUUUCCACAUCCCCUGAGAGGAAGAACAGGAAGAGGGCUAGGUGCUGUCAUGACAUUGGCCUCUUUGGGUAUAGCAAGCCCAUCCCCCUCUCCCUGCCUCCACAGGUUGCUAUGGUCAGAGAGACAUCAUAAAUUCCUGAGAAUCUCCUUAUGGACACACAGUAUAGAGAGAGUAGAUUUUCAUGGAGAACAAAGUUAAUAAUUUCACCUCACAGAACUUGAGGUACACGACAAAUGUCAUGUUCCGGAGAAAGUAUAAAAGAUUGGUGAAGAAUCCAGCUACGAACUGGUCCGUUUGUCACAACUUGGGGUAGCUCAUGGGAGACGGUGUGGCCACAUUACCAUAACGCUGUUUAUAUAAUAGCCUCAGAUAUAAGGUUUACAUCUAAUUGUUGUAUAAGAUGAAUGAGUAGGUAUGAUACUGUUUGUAUAAUUGUGUAAUAUGAUUUUGGACUGUUUAAUGAAGAAAAAUACAAUUCCCUUUUGAUUUGAACUAAAUCAGAGGACCGCCCCUGAGCCCAGUUGGGGUCAGGCCUCCUGGGACAGCCCCUUUUCUGCCAUUCUAAAUAAAACCCAAUUUUGAGAAAUUGUCAGCAGACCGAGCUUACCUCAAUUACGAGAUGGCUAAAGGUUGCAGACCAUGUUUUUCUCCAUUAGGAGGACAAAGGUUGUAGACCAUUGCUGAAUCUUUUAACCAUACCACGUGGUUAAACUCUUAGACUAUCGAUACAGAAUAAGAACAAGUCUUUGAUAUUAAUUACUAGUCUGCAGCUAGGAAUUCGGUAUCAUUGAACGCGAAGAACGACAACCGCCAUAACACCCAUUCUAUAACGAAUGUCACUCUGAACAAUCCCCUUUAACCACAACCGAGAGAGCGAGGGAGAGAGACGGACAAUUCUACAAAAGAAAUUAACUUUUCACUAGCGAUCAACACGACACACUGAGCAGGGCCACCCAGGGCAGGAAGCCCUGUGUGUGGUGUAAAUGGGAGAAAGAGUGGAUGAACACCAUCUGGCAGUGUGAGGCCUGUCCCGUGGCCCUCUGUCUCAUACCGGGCAGAAACUGCUUCAGGACCUGGCACAAGACUCACAAGUGGAACGAGGAAGUCAUCUUCAGUCUGUUUUCUUAAAUGUUGUCAAAUAUGUGGGUCUGGAGCCUCAGCAUGAGAUGUUAGUGGUUUGUGGUCAAAAAGGCCCACUUUCAGUUCCUAGUUCAUACGGUUUUAGUAGAAUUCAGGCAUACAUACAUUAAAUAAGAAAUAUUUCCUUUGUGGGUGUUUUUGCAAAAAAAGGAAGUUUGAAAAGUUUGCUACAUUUUCUCAAAAGCCCUUUUCCUCAUGUUGUUUAAGUUGACAUAUUAAA